rnacentral:rRNA from 1 species
GUGGGGAAUAUUGGACAAUGGGCGAAAGCCUGAUCCAGCCAUGCCGCGUGUGUGAAGAAGGUCUUCGGAUUGUAAAGCACUUUAAGUUGGGAGGAAGGGCAGUAAGCUAAUACCUUGCUGUUUUGACGUUACCGACAGAAUAAGCACCGGCUAACUUCGUGCCAGCAGCCGCGGUAAUACGAAGGGUGCAAGCGUUAAUCGGAAUUACUGGGCGUAAAGCGCGCGUAGGUGGUUUUGUAAGUUGGAGGUGAAAUCCCCGGGCUCAACCUGGGAACUGCCUCCAAAACUGCAUGACUAGAGUACGGUAGAGGGUAGUGGAAUUUCCUGUGUAGCGGUGAAAUGCGUAGAUAUAGGAAGGAACACCAGUGGCGAAGGCGACUACCUGGACUGAUACUGACACUGAGGUGCGAAAGCGUGGGGAGCAAACAGGAUUAGAUACCCCAGUAGUCC